CUCGGGGAGGGGGGCCCCUUAGCCUAGAUUGCAACAGGGCGCAGGCCAGGCUGAGGGACUCCACUGGUGCAUG
rnacentral:pre_miRNA from 1 species